rnacentral:rRNA from 1 species
UACGGGGGGGGCAAGCGUUGUUCGGAAUUACUGGGCGUAAAGGGUUCGUAGGUGGCUUGGUAAGUCAGACGUGAAAUCCCUCGGCUCAACCGGGGAACUGCGUCUGAGACUGAUGAGCUCGAGUGCAGGAGAGGAACGCGGAAUUCCAGGUGUAGCGGUGAAAUGCGUAGAUAUCUGGAGGAACACCGGUGGCGAAGGCGGCGUUCUGGACUGCAACUGACACUGAGGAACGAAAGCCAGGGGAGCAAACGGG